GACGUAGGGUGCGAGCGUUGUCCGGAUUUAUUGGGCGUAAAGAGCUCGUAGGCGGUCUGUCGCGUCUGCUGUGAAAACUCGGGGCUUAACCCCGGGCCUGCAGUGGGUACGGGCAGACUAGAGUGCGGUAGGGGAGACUGGAAUUCCUGGUGUAGCGGUGAAAUGCGCAGAUAUCAGGAGGAACACCGGUGGCGAAGGCGGGUCUCUGGGCCUGUACUGACGCUGAUGCGCGAAAGCGUGGGGAGCGAACAGG
rnacentral:rRNA from 1 species